CAUCCUCUUAUUUUUGUGUCGGUCAUUCCGCAACUCAGCAUAUAAAUUAGCAUUUGAAGGAUCAACCUGAGACUUAAUCAUCUCAUUAAUUUCUUUUGGCAAAGUUGAUGUUGAAUUCUUAGAUGUCUUUACACUUCGACCCAGGAAGCAAAGACCUUUGACUCUUCCUUUUUUCUUUCCACCAACAGAUUGCACCCAGAUAUCCAUUUCACUUAACUG
rnacentral:lncRNA from 1 species